rnacentral:lncRNA from 10 species
CUGGGGAUUGAAGCUCAGGGUGGAAAUGGCUGCCUUUCUGGCUGCCAUUUUCAAGGUCCUGCUGUCUUUCCAAGCUUUGGCUGGAGAAGGGGGAAAUGUCACUAGCAGAUGGGGUGUUACCAUCUCCCGUGCACACUGGCAUCCACGGUCGUAGGAGAUCCUCAUGAUGACUCAAAUGUCAGGACCCUCCACUUUUCCACCAGUUUGUCCACCGGUGAAAAGGAGAAGCCAGCCAAGAACCAGCAGCUUCUGGCUACCUUGAUCAGAAGGUUGAUGAAGGCAAUGAAACAAAGAUGGAAAAACACAUCACACAGGCCCUUACCAGAUGCCAGCAUCUUGAUAUUGGACUUCCCAGCCUUCAGAACUCCUGACCAUUUACAGAAUGAAAAUGUGUUCACAUGAGGAAACCAAGGGUGUGGCCAACAAACCGUUGGAUAAGGCUCCAGUCAAGCAACCCACCUUAUCAAGUGGACCAGGCACAGCUCCUACUUAUCCCUGAGUAGUGGGUAUCAGUUUCCUGCUAACCUCGGAAUUGUUCAAAGCCCAUCACAUUCUCCUGCAGGAACCAGGGAGCACCUCACCCUCUUGUUGCUACAAAGCUUGCCACCCACAGCCCCUGCC